rnacentral:rRNA from 1 species
GGGAACCCCUAUCGGGCUCGCACUAAGCCAUGCGAGUCUGCUGGGGGCCCCUGCCCCCGGCGGCGCACGGCUCCGUAAUACACGGUCAACCUGUCCUGGGGACCGGGAUAACCUCGGGAAACUGAGGCUAAUACCGGAUAGGGGUGGAUUCCUGGAAUGGGUCCACCCCUAAAGUAGGCGGGGGGACGGCCCCGCUGAGGCCCCAGGGUGGGACCGUGGCCUAUCAGGUAGUAGGUGGGGUAACGGCCCACCUAGCCUAAGACGGGUACGGGCUCUGAGAGGAGGAGCCCGGAGAUGGGCACUGAGACAAGGGCCCAGGCCCUACGGGGCGCAGCAGGCGGGAAACUUCCCCAAUGCGCGCAAGCGUGAGGGAGUGAGCCCGAGUGCCGCCCGCUGAGGGCGGCUGUUCCCCUGUGUAAAAAGCAGGGGGUAGGAAGGGGAGGGUAAGGCUGGUGCCAGCCGCCGCGGUAAAACCAGCUCCCCGAGGGGUUCCCACGCAUACUGGGCCUAAAGCGUCCGUAGCCGGCCCCGUAAGUCCUCGGUUAAAUCCGCCUGAAGACAGGCGGGCCGCCGAGGAUACUGCGGGCUAGGGAGCGGAGGGCCGAGGUAUUCCGGGGGGAGCGGUAAAAUGCGUAGAUCCCCGGAGGACCACCAGUGGCGGAGGCGCUCGGCUGGAACGCGUCCGACGGUGAGGGACGAAAGCUGGGGGAGCAAACCGGAUUAGAUACCCGGGUAGUCCCAGCCGUAAACGAUGCCGGCUAGGUGCCGGCUGAGGUUUCGGCCUCAGCCGGUGUCGAAGCGAAGGCGUUAAGCCGGCCGCCUGAGGAGUACAGCCGCAAGGCCGAAACUUAAAGGAAUUGACGGGGGGGCACCACAAGGGGUGAAUGCCUGCGGCUCAAUUGGACUCAACGCCGGGAAUCUUACCGGGGGCGACAGCAGGACGAAGGUCAGGCUGAAGACCUUACCUGACGCGCUGAGGGGUGGUGCAUGGCCGUCGCUAGCUCGUGCCGUGAGGUGUCCUGUUAAGUCAGGCAACGAGCGAGACCCCCGCCCUCAGUUGCCAGCGGGGCCCCAAGGGGCUGACCGGGCAAACUGGGGGGACUGCCGGCGAAGAGCCGGAGGAAGGAGGGGGCUACGGCAGGUCAGUAUGCCCCUAAUCCCCCGGGCCGCACGCGGGCU